UCCGGUUUGUCACCGGCAGUCUCUUCAGAGUGCCCAGCGUAACCUGAUGGCAACAGAAGACAAGGGUUGCGCUCGUUGCGGGACUUAACCCAACAUCUCACGACACGAGCUGACGACAGCCAUGCAGCACCUCUACAGACGUCCUUGCGGAAGCCUACUUUCGUAGGAUGUCAUCUGCAGUUCAAGCCUGGGUAAGGUGGGGAUGACGUAAGGAUAG
rnacentral:misc_RNA from 1 species